UACGGAGGAUGCAAGCGUUAUCCGGAAUUAUUGGGCGUAAAGCGUCCGUAGGUGGUUGAGUAAGUCAGUUGUUAAAGCGUGGAGCUUAACUCCAUAACGGCAAUUGAAAUUACUCGGCUAGAGUGCGAUAGGGGCAAGGGGAAUUCCCAGUGUAGCGGUGAAAUGCGUAGAUAUUGGGAAGAACACCGGUGGCGAAAGCGCCUUGCUGGGUCUGCACUGACACUGAGGGACGAAAGCUAGGGGAGCGAAAGGG
rnacentral:rRNA from 1 species